AACCUUUAGCAAAACAAAUAUUAAAGGCAACGCCUGCCCAGUGAACAAUUAAACGGCCGCGGUACCCUAACCGUGCAAAGGUAGCGUAAUCACUUGUCUAUUAAUUGUAGACCCGUAUGAAAGGCAAAAUGAGGGCCUAACUGUCUCUUAUAAUAAAUCAAUUAAACUGAUCUCCCAGUCCAAAAGCUGGAAUACUUACAUAAGACCAGAAGACCCUGUGAAGCUUAAACCAAACUAUUAAAACAUAUAAUAACUUCUUUCGGUUGGGGCGACCUUGGAAAAAAAGAAAACUUCCAAAUAGUGACCUCCCAUCACACCAAAAGGCCAACAAGCCUACACCAGACCCAGCAUAGCUGAUAAUUGAACCAAGUUACUCCAGGGAUAACAGCGCUAUCUUCUUCAAGAGCCCAUAUCAAAAAGAAGGUUUACGACCUCGAUGUUGGAUCAGGACAUCCUAUUGGUGCAGCCGCUAUUAAGGGUUCGUUUGUUCAACGAUUAAUAGUCCU
rnacentral:rRNA from 1 species